rnacentral:lncRNA from 1 species
AGAAAAAGAAAAAGACAAGUUUGUACUACUUGUUCGAGUUUGUCUCGACCCGGAAGAGUGGGCAGGGGGAAAUACAAAAGAGAAGGGGUCAUUCACCUGACCCAGUUCGAAGAAAGAGAACAAUAAGGUGGGCCCCACUCCCUCAGAGUUAAAAGUUUGGGAAUUGUGCCACGUGUUAUGCUAGGUGGCAUUUGAAACCAGAAAACGACACGUGGCCGUCCUGUUUUGCGCAUAACGUUGAAGGUGUGGUGGCACGUGAAGUAGAGGCCCUACGCUCGAAUCUAGCGCACUCUCUUCUCCCUCUGCCAGCUGGGACACUGUCUUCUCUUAUAAUCUCCUCUCUCUCGCGAGUUAACUCACUCCAACAACGUCGGCGAAAUUAUCGUAUCGCGAGAAGUUUCACCUCGACAAUAGUGUUUUACUUUAUUUA